CAGUCGCCGCGGUAAUACGAAGGGUGCAAGCGUUACUCGGAAUUACUGGGCGUAAAGCGUGUGUAGGUGGUUGUUUAAGUCUGUCGUGAAAGCCCUGGGCUCAACCUGGGAAUUGCGAUGGAUACUGGGCGACUAGAGUGCGGUAGAGGAUAGUGGAAUUUCCGGUGUAGCAGUGAAAUGCGUAGAGAUCGGAAGGAACAUCUGUGGCGAAGGCGACUAUCUGGGCCAACACUGACACUGAGACACGAAAGCGUUGGGAGCAAACAGGAUUAGAUACCCCGGUAGUCCCUGUCUCUUAUAA
rnacentral:rRNA from 1 species